rnacentral:rRNA from 1 species
UACGUAGGGUGCGAGCGUUGUCCGGAAUUAUUGGGCGUAAAGAGCUUGUAGGCGGUCUGUCGCGUCUGCUGUGAAAAUCCGGGGCUCAACCCCGGACUUGCAGUGGGUACGGGCAGACUAGAGUGUGGUAGGGGAGACUGGAAUUCCUGGUGUAGCGGUGAAAUGCGCAGAUAUCAGGAGGAACACCGGUGGCGAAGGCGGGUCUCUGGGCCGUAACUGACGCUGAGGAGCGAAAGCAUGGGGAGCGAACAGG